rnacentral:rRNA from 1 species
GAUGAACGCUGGCGGCGUGCCUAAUACAUGCGAGUCGAGCGAACAGACGAGGAGCUUGCUCCUCUGACGUUAGCGGCGGACGGGUGAGUAACACGUGGAUAACCUACCUAUAAGACUGGGAUAACUUCGGGAAACCGGAGCUAAUACCGGAUAAUAUAUUGAACCGCAUGGUUCAAUAGUGAAAGACGGUUUUGCUGUCACUUAUAGAUGGAUCCGCGCCGCAUUAGCUAGUUGGCAAGGUAACGGCUUACCAAGGCAACGAUGCGUAGCCGACCUGAGAGGGUGAUCGGCCACACUGGAACUGAGACACGGUCCAGACUCCUACGGGAGGCAGCAGUAGGGAAUCUUCCGCAAUGGGCGAAAGCCUGACGGAGCAACGCCGCGUGAGUGAUGAAGGUCUUCGGAUCGUAAAACUCUGUUAUUAGGGAAGAACAAAUGUGUAAGUAACUAUGCACGUCUUGACGGUACCUAAUCAGAAAGCCACGGCUAACUACGUG